rnacentral:rRNA from 1 species
UACAGAGGUCUCAAGCGUUGUUCGGAUUCAUUGGGCGUAAAGGGUGCGUAGGCGGCGCGGUAAGUCGGGUGUGAAAUCUCGGAGCUUAACUCCGAAACUGCAUUCGAUACUGCCGUGCUUGAGGACUGGAGAGGAGACUGGAAUUUACGGCGUAGCAGUGAAAUGCGUAGAGAUCGUAAGGAAGACCAGUGGCGAAGGCGGGUCUCUGGACAGUUCCUGACACUGAGGCACGAAGGCCAGGGGAGCAAACGGG